GUAAUUGUGACGGCUAACAUACAAGUGCUUUUAAGCAAGCUUUAGAUUUGUCGUCCGUAGAAGUCUUUCUCUCUUUUUAUAAGCGGACAAACGUGUGUUGGGUGCGAAAGCCAAAUUGGCUUGCUUUUAUUAUCCUGCAGAAAGGGAGAUAGCAAAGUGUGACGAUUCCGUGCAAUUAAAGCUGCUUUUGUGGAUGUCUCAAGUCCAGACAAAUGGUCUCGGAUGCAAGCGGAAAACACUCUCUCUCUCACACACACACACACACACACAUAUGUUAACAGCCACAGAUGGUUAUUGCAGGCAUAACGCCUGCUGCACGCCGAAUUAACGGCAGUUGAAUGUGCAGUUACAUGUAUUGCUUGUAUUUGUAUUAUUGUAUGUUUGUAUGUAUGUUAAUGUGCAGCAUACUUGUGUAUGAUAUUGAAUGCAAUUCACUGUAAAGAUAUCUAUA